GUGCGGGGACGGCACUGGGCGUUGUCUUUGCCUGAUGAGAGUAUUGUAGUGUUGGGUUGUCCGGUCUAGUGGCGCCAUUAUUGUCUUCCUAAAGAUCAUCGGCAAAGCACUUCCCCGGUACCAUUAGCGACGAGGACGAGGAGUGACUCAUGUUCCAUGAUCUUUCACCCCAAGCUGGGAUGCUUUUCCUAGUCAUGCCUAAGGAGCCAGUUACUGGGUUGUCUGAAGCAGAAGAUUCUGGUGAAUCUUUGUAUGUUGCAGGAAUGACAUGAACUGAUGAAGACUGAAUUUUGCAAGGAGCAACAAGAGUGUGAUGAUGACCUGAACCGGGCCAGCGUCAAUGCCCAAUGAUCAGAUGUGCUGAAGCCUUGCUUCCUGGGAAGUGGCUGGACAUUGCUCACCAAUGGGAAGUAGAGAUUUUUUUUUUCCUGUUUGCUUAUGCGCAUGCAAACUUUUGUGCUUUUUUUCUUGCUUUAGUAUACUGUUUUAUCUCAACCUACUAGUUAUUUUCCAUCCUAUUUUUCUCUCCUGUCUUGCUGGGGAGUGAUAGGAUGGCUUGCUGGGUACCUGGUUUCUAGCCAAGGUCAAGCCACUAUGUACACUCCUUGUCAGAAAAUAUAAGCUUUAAGGAUAGGCCAGUUUUCAAUAUUUAGGCUUCCUUUCCUUUUGGAGUCCAUAACCUUAGAGGUUCAGGUAUUGUCAUAACCGAAAAAAUAUAUGUCCCAGACAACCACACUUAUUACUCCCACCAUCCAGGUUUCAGAGGCAUUCCCAAGACCCAUACCCAGGGACAGAGGAAGAAGUCAGUGGGCACCAUGGGAUGAUUACAUUCAGUAAAAAUUCUACGACAUGAUAGUCUAGAUUGCCUCAGCGGUGGGGGUCAAAGAUAUGCCAAACACAAGUUAUUCCAAACUCCUCAGCAUAUUGUUUCACUCAGGGUCCUGGGUUCAGACCAAAUGCCUUUCCUACUUUACCAAACCCUUCAUUGGUUCUCAAAUUUGAAAUCUUUCUUCUCUUUUGUGAGCUUAACAACUUAUGCCGCCUUCAUCCACAGCUUGAGAACUUUCGAGCUGCCACUUCAGCUCCUCUGACAGCCCAUUUUCUCCCUCCUUCCAGGGGCCACCAACAGUUUGACAGCCCUUUCUUCUGUAUAAUUGGGCUUUACAGCUUUCUUACCUCUGUGUGCUUCCCUUGAUAUAGUAAUUUUAUACUUUUCUCUGAGGAAGGAAGAGGUACACAAAUUUGAUUCCAUAAUCAUGAAAUCCUAUGUGAGCUCCCAAAACUGAGGGAGAAAUCUUUUCCACAUACUGUAGCAAUCUGAGAGAAAAUACAAACAUGUAAAACAUUGCUUGCGACAAACUUACAUAAAACACAUACAAACAUAAAUAUCUCAAAACUUUCAAGAUAAAAACAUGUAAAAAUUGAUGCAGCAAAGAACAGCAACUCUUCAGUCCUGUUGUCACUUCACUCUCUCAUGGAACACCUCUUGAAAUAUCUGCAAGAGGAGAAAAAAAAGAAAACUCAGUCCUGUUUGGACCAGUCUUAAAAGGAAAAAAACUGUCCAUCUGAUGGUAUUUUGUGUUUUCUGCCAGAGGCAUCUGUGGCCUUUAAUUCCAGAAUGACUUCAGCAAUUCAGUUGCUUGCCUCUAGUGGCAGACAAGGCUCUAUGUUCACUACCACCAGAAGGUGGCAGUGUAGGAGCAUUUUGCAAACCUUCAUUGCCAAUCCAGGGAAACUGAAUUUCCAUUUAUUUCCAGGGAGCCUUUUAGGAUAUCUGAAUUCACCACCCUCUCCCAGCUCACUUUUUGGGGGCAGAGCUGAGAAUUUAUUUUCUUGGUGUUGAUCCUUAAAUUUUGCAAUACACAACAACAACACAGGAGAAGGCUGACAGGACACCAGCUGUUUCUCAUGCAUUGGUUGGAAGCCAGAUGCCUCCCACAGUCUCUUGGUGCUUUUAGCAAAUUUUGGAGUGGGAAGAGGGCUGGAUUCUCCCCCCUCCAACAGAUCCACACUUUUUACACUAAAGGUUGUUCCCUGGGCAAGAGACCAGGGCUCUUUGCCAAAUGCUUUUUCCUCAGAAAGCUUUGUUUCAUUCCCCCUCAUUACCGAAAUUUUCAAAACAUUCUCUAUUUCAUUUUCUUUGGGAUGAUUGCUACUUUUCUCUUGCUACAUAACCAAUUCUGUUGCAGAGUGAGAUAUAAUUACCAUGGGCUCUGCCUCCUGGUAAAGAAUUCCAUCUUUACAAGUGGGCAGAUCUUGGGGUGGGUGAGGGAAGAGGGGGCUGGCUUUACAGAGUUCUCCUCCAGGGAGUGGAGGAAGGUAACAUCAUGCUCAGGGAGUCUCACCUCCCUCUCUGCCUCCUAAUUUUUUACAGGUGGGCAGAGUUUAGGAUGAUGAAGGGGGUUUGGCUGUGCUACAUCCAACUCCUUCCAAGGGCUGAGGGGGUUGACAUCCUGCUCAUGGAAGUUUGCCUCCUCGAGGCUGGAAAACCCUGGUUCAUUCUCCACACCUCACCCAUCAGUGUUAAUUUGCAAAUUGGAACAUCUUUGGCUCUGGACAAGCUUGUUCAACUGGUUUUUCAGGUUUUGGGAUAACUUUUCCACAUACAAUUCUGGAUCCACCCUGAGUUUACCUAUUGUUUCAGCCACCAAAGCAAUUUGCAACUCAAUUAGCUCUCUGUUGCUGCUCAGCAACAUAUUCCUCUUUGUGCAGCUAUGAGCCCAGCUUCCACCCAUAUGGUUACCAAACAAUUUUCCUUAUUAGAGAUUUUUUCAAUUUCUUUACUCAAAGAUCUGAUUUUCUCUGCAACUAAAUGUGGAUUGUGCCAGAUUUCCUCAACCCACAUCUCUCUUAUGGCCAGACAAGCUUUGUAAACUUUUAGCAGCUCUAUCAGUGGAGGGAAGUCCAGGUCCAUUUUUACCCUGGUGUUGGAAAAGAUACCAUGCUUAAAAAAUUGUAUAUAACUUUAGUCAGGGAUUUAGUUAGCCUUUGCUCUGAGGGAAAGGAAUUUCAAGUUUAUUUUCAGGGGACUGUUUCAUCACUCAAGGCAUGAUGAGCUUAACAUCACAGACUGGGAGUAGCACAGAAGAGACACAAAAGAUAACAACCAUUAACUACCAUUAAAGACCAGCAACUCUGAAUAUCACCCCUGGCAUGGUCAGAGACACCUGGUCCAGAAAGGACUGAUAAGACAACCAAGGAAUGAGGACCAAAUUAGCAUUGGAGAUGAAGAAAUCUGUAACCAAUAGGAAGCCAAAUACUAAGAACUGCGUAACUUGGGUCCAGUGAACAUUUAACCAAUUAAUUUCUAUGGGUUUUGACUGUAUAAAUUAUGUGAAAAAUCUAGUAAAAGUCGUAUGUGAUGGAAGGAUUUUCUCUGAACAACCUGGCCAAUGUGUGGAUUAAAUUAUUUCUGUUGCACAUCCUGGCCAGAACAGCAUCCUGGCCCGAAUAAAGUAAUGCCUUGAUUCUCUAACACUAAAAAUGUUGCUGGAGAGUUUUUGUUUUUCCUGAAGUUUCGAUCACACUGUUUUCCAUGACCUUUCUGAUGGAAAAGAUUGUUUAUGACCAAAAUUCAGUUUCUCCUUUAUUCUGCCACUAGCAGUUUUCUCUGUAUAAAACACCUCUUCACCUCAAGAGUACCCUGCUUGCUGUGCCAAUAAAAUGCAAGGCCCCAAGACCCACUCAACGAGACACUUAUAAGGCUUUAUUUUUUAUGUACCCUGAGUUAGACACAGCAGAAAUACCAAUAAGAUGUUCUCAAGUGGUCAAAAGAACAAAUACUUUACCAAAAACUUCAGAAAAUCAGAGAACUUUGAAAGAAGUUUAAAGCAACAUCCCAUCAACAUAAAACAUUUCACAAUCAUUAACUUAGCCCAUUCAACUUAGCAAACUCCAAGCCCAUCCAAUUUUGACUUACUCAAAAUUGUGAGAAGAGGGAAUUAGAACAAGAAGAAGAAAGACAGAAAAUACAUAGAAAAGAACAAAUUUCGUUACCACUUGCUUCCAGCAGUGUCUCAGCUGAUAGAAAUUUGAAGAGGAGGUAGGGUCAAGACGUGCUUGCUUCAUGUCCUUGCUUAACUAUCUGUAUUGAGUCUGGCUGAGCUGGAGUUCAUUAUCUCAUAGCACCCUCACAGUGCUGUGCUUUGCAUUGGUAGCUAGAAAGGUGUUGAUAACACACCAGUGUUUCGGCUACUGCUGAGCAGCAUUAGCACAGCAUCAGUGCUGUCUUCUCUGACAUUCCUCCCCCCCAUCAAGGGUCUGGGAGUGGGAAAGAUCCUGGGAGGGGACACAACCAGGCCAGCUGACCCAAAUUAAACAACGGCAUGUUCCAUACCAUAUGAUGUCAGCUGAGAUAUAAAAGCUAAGUGAAGGAGAAAGAAUGGGGGCAUUUGUUAUUUUACAGUGUUUUCCUUCCUGUAGCAACUGCUAUGUGUGGUAAAGCCCUGCUUCCCAGGAAAUGUCUGAACAUCACUUGCCAAUGAUGAUCAUGAAAUACACCUCCCUCUUUCUGCCUGUCCUGGGGUGAGUGUGAUGUUAAAUUGUAUCCCCAUUCGUCCACCUAGCCCAGAAAUAGGUUUUGUAUCCUUAAAACUUCAUUUAAGAGUAAAAGUGAGUGGAGAAGAAGCACCGAGUCUGUUAUCAGAGACUGUACUUGCUCCCCCCGCAUCCCAGGAUGGGGUUUUGACUACAGCACAGACAACAAGAAAGAGAUCGCCUUGGCUUUCCAACUAGCUGAAGCAGAGAGGUCUUCCUGGACUGUUUUCUUUCCCUUUUCCUUGAAACGGAUCGAACCUGCUCUGGACUGGGGACUUGGGGGAGCACCGGGAGCUUGCACCCUUGGACUACCAGGGGCCUAGCCUGGGCAGCGGCAUUUUCCAGUGCCAGAGGGACUGAUAACAGAGCGAGAACAUCCACAGGAAAGAAACCCUCUGAAUUUUGUCAUCUCUUCAGAGCGGCGAGAGGUUUUGUAAUUUGAUAUUGUUCAUUCUUGUGCUGGGUAGUGCUGUGCCUGUGAAAUAAACAGGUUUUUUCCACUUCUCUCAGAGAAAUCUCUUCCCGAACCAGUUGGGGGGUGGGAGAAAGGGGCCAUGUGGGUUUGCUUCCCGGGGCAGGGGGGGGCAUUGGAGGUUUUCUCCCAAAUUUGCCCUAAACCAGGACAGUGUCAUUAAUAACUGAAUGUUCAAGUGUAUCCUCAUGAAUGUAAAGAUUGAGCAUAUAUCCUAAAGUGGAAUAAAGAGCUGCUUUAACAGAAGUGGAAAAUACUUUUGAUUACCCCCACACAACUGUGAGAUCUACUGCCAGAGACUCCUAAAUUACAUUAAUAAAAUCGGCUCCAGGAAGAAGAACACAGACAAACUAUACUGGACAACACAGUAAACAGUAAAUCCAUUUAAAACUGUAACAAAACACAAAAUUCUAAAAUGAAAUGCAUCAAAUGGUUUAUCCUUUUUGUAUUUCCAGAGCAGUGUUUCUAGUAUGCCAGCAUGGUUGUUUCCAGAUUGGUUAGUCAACCAUCUUAAGAGAACCUUGUAAUAACUGUAAUAGCAAGUAUAGCUUCAAAUACUAGAGGAAUAAGUAAGUAAGUAAAAGAGAGGAGUGUCCUUUUCACUAAGGACCACUCUAACAUCACAUUUAUAAUCAGUUAUUUAACAAAUUAAAAGUGAAAAUAUCUCAAAGAAUGGCUGGCUACUCCAACUUGUUUACCUAAUAAUACUGAGAAUACUCAUCUGUGGAGGAGGCCUAGUUCUCUGACAGGCAUCUGUGGCAUCCUACCUGGAGAUCAAUCCCCUAAGAUAAAACUGCCUAGUCACUGUGACUAAGCUGUGGACCCCCCUCUGCCUCAGGACCCCCUGUUAACUAUUGGUCAUCUUACCCCAGUCCCAGACUAUUGGUCCCCUUCCUGAUCCUCCCCUUGCCUAUAAAAACCCCAGCUUUUAUCUAGUUCGGGGUUAGACCAUCACUGGCCCCCUUCGCUGAAGCCUGCAUUAAAGACUCCUUGAGGAAUGCCUUAUGGUCUUCCUGUCUCUUGUCUGUGUCAGCAGGGGAACCCUGGAAUGGAGCUGGCUGGGCUGAACAGAGCUGAUCACAGAGCAAAAAUUACUGCUAAAAGAGCUGAUCACUUAAGGCCCUUGCCAGUGCUCCAAGGAUUACCUCUGGCUUGAGGCUGCCUGCAGAACCCCAGACGGCAGCUCUGUUCCAUGGGAUAGCCUGUCUGGGCUCGUUGCCAGCAGAAGCUGGGGGUCUGACUGGCUCCCAGGAUCCCAGCCUGCAAAACUCAUCUGUAUUGUUAAAGUACUAACUUCAUUAGUAACUGUCACAUUUCUAACUCUUGCUGUUACUAUGUAUGUUUAUAUAAAUUUAUGUUUUUAUUACUGGUUGCCACAAUGAGUGGAAAAGUUCCUCCUUCAAUUUAGUUUUGGGAGCUCAUAUCCUUAUGGAAGCUAAUCUAUAUACCUCUUCCUAUCUCCUCAAGGCAAAGUAUAAAAUUACCAAGAGAAGUGUAUGUAGUAAUGGUAAGAGAUGUGUAAUUUGUGCAGAAGUGGCAGCUGGAAAGUUCUUUCCAGCUGUAAAGGUGACUAAAAGAAAGAUUUUGGAUUUAAUAACCACUGACAGUUUCAAUUGCAGUGAAAAAAGGUAUUUGUCCAAAAUCAUGACCCUCAAAAUAAUAUGCUGAGGAGAUCAAAAUGUGUAUUGUUG